rnacentral:vault_RNA from 8 species
GGGCUGGCUUUAGCUCAGCGGUUACUUCGGCGACACCUCCUAGGAUUACACCAACCUCUCUGGGUUGUUCGAGACCCGCGGGCGCUCUCCAGUCCUUUU